CUUCUCAUCUUUGGAGGCUGAAGUAGCUUAGAGGUAUAAAGGGGUUUCCCCUGGAUCCUGGAAUGACAAAAGGUUCCAAACGUGAUAAAGGACUUCAAUGGGAUUGGACACGAAGAGGCACGGUGAUUUUUCUGACAAGAUAUAUGGCACUAGAUAUCCACGGCAAUCUCAGUAUCUGCCACCUUGUGAUUUCUUUCCCCCUCAACUUUGUGCUGAGAAUGGGAGAAAAGGAAUGAGUAAAGGGAAAAAUGGGAGAAAGGAGGAAGGGAAGGAGGGAGG
rnacentral:lncRNA from 1 species